rnacentral:rRNA from 1 species
GACGAACGCUGGCGGCGUGCUUAACACAUGCAAGUCGAACGGAAAGGCCCUGCUUUUGUGGGGUGCUCGAGUGGCGAACGGGUGAGUAACACGUGAGUAACCUGCCCUUGACUUUGGGAUAACUUCAGGAAACUGGGGCUAAUACCGGAUAGGAGCUCCUGCUGCAUGGAGGGGGUUGGAAAGUUUCGGCGGUUGGGGAUGGACUCGCGGCUUAUCAGCUUGUUGGUGGGGUAGUGGCUUACCAAGGCUUUGACGGGUAGCCGGCCUGAGAGGGUGACCGGCCACAUUGGGACUGAGAUACGGCCCAGACUCCUACGGGAGGCAGCAGUGGGGAAUAUUGCCCAAUGGGCGGACGCCUGAUGCAGCAACGCCGCGUGCGGGAUGACGGCCUUCGGGUUGUAAACCGCUUUCGCCUGUGACGAAGCGUGAGUGACGGUAAUGGGUAAAGAAGCACCGGCUAACUACGUG